GUGUAUCUAAGACUGCCAACCUCAAUCAAAAGACAAACUUAAUCAGUGCUGUGGUUUUAAUGUGUCCCCCAAAGCUCAUGUGUUGAAAAUUUAAUCCCCAAUUCAAUAAUGUUGAGAGGUGAUGCCUCUAAGAGAUGAUUAGGUCAUGAGGGCUGUGCCCUCAUGAAUGGAUUAAUGUCAUUGUCAUAGGAGUGGGUUAGUUCUCACUGGAAUGGCUUCCUGAUAAAAGGAUGAAUUCAGUCCCCUUCCCCUUCUUCCUUAUGCCCUCUUGCCCUUCUGCUUUCUACCGUGGGAUGAUGCAGCAAGAAGACCCUCGCCAGAUGCAGACUCCUCAGCCUUGGACUCCCAAGCCUCCAGAACUGAAGUGAUGGAAAAACUAUUCUCAGCAAAUGAGUGGAAAUUGCACAACUACAAGAUUUACCCAUUUUUUGAAAGCUGCCUGAGAAAGAAGAUAGCAAUCCAAAAGAAAAUUCUUCAUACAGACACCAACAGAUGAGCAAAAAAGAGAAAGAGGUCCUUCACAAAUGUAAUAGUCUGACAGGAGGGCUUUCCAGGAUUGACAAUACCAUGAAGACAAUCAGCAGCAAAAAAAGGAGAAGUCAUUGAAUAUCCUUAAGAAUGUCUCGCAGUGGCUCACGCCUGUAAUCCCAGCACUUUGGGAGACCAAGGCGGGUGGAUCACUUGAGGUCAGGAGUUCAAGACCACCCUGGCCAACAUGGUGAAACCCCCUUUCUUCUAAAAAUACAAAAAUUAGCUGGGUGUGGUGGCACGUGCCUAUAAUCCCAGAUACUUGAGAGGAUGAGGCAGGAGAAUCGCUUAAACCCAGGAGGCGGAGGUUGCAGUGAGCUGAUUGUGCCAGUGCACUCCAGCCUGGGAGACAGAGUGAGACUCUGUCUCCAAAAAAAAAAAAAAAAAAAAAAAGAAUGUCUUUCGUAGUGAUAUAUUUAAGUGGUCGGUCGGACAUUUUCUCAACUGAGGUUUCAACUACAUUGGUGCUUCUCAAAGUAUCUGUGAGGAAAGAACCAGUUUUUUAAAAAGAAAAUUUUCCAAUCUAAAAGUUUCUAAGGGCUGACUCUCAAUUUCUGUACUUUUUCAUCACAGACCAGUAACAAACAAGCAUCACUGCUCCAUGAACCACAUUUAGAGUAGUCCUGUUUUAUUUAAAUAACAAUUGCUGUUUAUGGGGCAGAUAGCGUGCCAAACAUUUGAUAAAUAUAAUUUAACGUUCACAACGAUCUUAUGUGGCAAAUCUUUCCCACUUAACGGCUAAAAAAGUGAGAUUUAGAGAGUUUAGGUAAUUUGCAAAGACUCAUAAAAUUAAUCAGUGGUAGAACAUUUCAUCCUAACUUAAAUCUAUUCAUUACCAUCUUUUAAGAAUCAGGAGCAGCAAGGUUGGAUAGUUCAAAAUAUGCAGAAUUAUUGACAGAAGAAUGACAUUGCAAAAAGUCAGAUCUGAUAGUCCAAGGACACAAAUUAAUGAGGAAGCAAAAGACCAGGAAAAUCUAGUUGGGCAUGAGUCAGGUACUAGGUAAUUGAAGAAAAGAAUGGUUGAAACUGGGUUGACUGCUGGAAUGUAGAGUGUAGCUUGUGAGCAAUUACUCAAAUAAAGAUUUUUCCUUUUGUUUAGUGUCCUUUCUUCCUAAGGUAACAAAACAUAUUCUUAUUAAUAGCUGUCACCUGAUUCUUCCACCACCUUCCAAUGUACUGUGUCUGGGGCUUGCUGUACCUCUCUGGUCCUGAUCCUUUUAAGGUGAUAUGGUCAUCAAUAUCUAUCCAUAGAGUUUGAUUACACCCAGCAAAGGGAGGGAUACAUCCCUUGGCAAGAUCUGAGGCUCAAUUAGAGGGUCUUCAUCCUCUGGGAGACCAAAUGGUGCACCAUCUAGGGUUGUCAAAUUCAAGGACUUGGCUCCUCUUUAUUAGAACAUCCUUUUCACAGGGAAGCAUAGCCUGUGAGGCCUAAUGAAGUGGGAAUGGAUCACCCCUUAAGUCUUAGAGGUGUGUACAGCAUGAUUACUAAGCUAUUUGCAAGGAGAAAAGAGGCCUUUGGCCGGGGAAUUAGCUUGUAGGGAGACCCACUGGAAACAGUGUGGCAUGUUCAGUCCCCUAGGAACAGGGGACGUAAACACUAAUUUAUGAAAUUAAAUUAUGAAACUCACAUUGGAAGCCAACAUGGCAAAGGGAGUCCAAAUGCAGGGUGGAAAAUGAUGUAGGAGAAACUGAAAACGUGCACUGUGAAAGCGAGGAUGCAAGGCAAAAAGGAGGAACCAAGAAAAAAAAGUCUCUGAGGAGGAGGAGGUAAGUAGAUCAAAUAAAGUAGAUGAGGCCAAACCUUGUCCAAGCUCCAGGGUUUUGCAUAAGAUCAAGUAAAUAAAUAUAUUCAGAUUGUAGACAAUACAGAAACACAGGCACACACAUUUUUAUGCCACCACAAGAAAAAAUCCAUUACCCAUAUUCAUACCACCCAGAGAUGAUGAUUUAAUUAUGUUUUCUAUGCAUUGUUUGACUUUGAGAGUAAGCAAAGCCCAACCAAGCUUGUUGCCUGACUGUAUUCUGAUAGUGUGUGUGCUAGAGGGAGGGAGAGAUAAUUGAGGCAGGGACAGUUAAUUCACUUCUGAAAAAAUCGGUGUAAUGUUGCAGAUGGCCAAGGCAUCAUGGGAUUUCUGACCCAGAGAGAACUUGAAGAUCAUCCAGCUGAUGGUUUUAAAACUGUGUUUUUCAGAGCCAUAUAGGUCCAGCACAGAUGCCUCAGGGGCUGUCUGGGGGCAGAAUUGGGUGUACAGCCAAGUGGUCAGGGUUAUAGGUCUCCCAGCCUGGCUUCAACCCAGCAACUCUGCUUUAUCUGGUUUUUAUAUUCAUUUCUGGGUAAGGUUUUAUUUGAAAAAAAUGUUCUGCUGCUUUCAAAGGAGAACAAUAAAAAGAUUUAAAGUCAUUGCCCUAAUCCCAAGUAUUCAUUUUGCAGCCAAGGAAAUGGAAACUGAAAUCCCAAGAAAUAAAAGGACAUUCAGAAGAAUGUCUAACCCAUGGCCAGAUGUGUUAGCUAUAAGGACUGAGAGGCUGUCUUUGGGUACAGGACUUUCAGUGCUAAAGCCAAGAAAGUGCCACAAAAACCAGAAGGGUUGGUCUACCUAUCAGGAAGCCUCCAGUUCCCAGAUCUUUUCUUACUAACAGCUCUGUAUUUGUUUCGGAAAUUCUAGGACUUUGAUGCUCUGGUAUUUUGAACCACCUAGGCUGUGAUCACUCAAGUUGCCUAGUAACCAGCUGAAGGCCAGCACCAGAGUGAAACCAAGAGAAGCCACAUUCCUUAAUAAAGACAGCAACAGCUGGGGAACCAGCAGGUCUAGGUUCACGGUUGAGCUGGAUCCUUACUCCUUUGAGGAUGUGACUGACAUGUCUUUUAUUAAACUGCUUAAAUCCUCCAUCUGUAAAAUGGGCCUGACGUUUGACAGCAAGUACCUCCUGCACAUAUUGUGAGGAUUAAUGAAGAAUCUAGAAAACAGUUUGAACCUUUCAGAAUAAAAGCACUUGGAAAACAUGUUGGAUUUACAAUAAUUUAGUGCUAGCAUUAAGAUAAUGUUGGAAAGCAGGGUCAGCUAAAUCACUGAUUUCCAAGAUUUAAAGACAACUACAGUAAUAACAGUCUUUCCACUUGCCUUAUAGUUAAUUGUGUUUAUAUAAUUAUCUCAAGGACAGAAAGUGGUGAUAAAUGCAUUGAAAAUGGAGAAAAACGUAUUAUGGUAUUAAAAAACAAUCUGAGUUACCAUAUCUGAGAUCAACCCACAUAUGUGCGGAUUUACUCAGUACUAAUUCAGCUAAUCUUUCUUAGAGAUGACUGUCAAUUCUAGAAGAACUCAAGAUACAAGGUAAGACCAUUAGCUUGGUGUAUAGUCUGAUGAACAGCAUAUAAAAAUGGCUUUGUUUGGGAAACAGUCCCUCUAUGUCAAUAUGGAAUUCUGGGCUCAUCUGAGCCAACACACUUACCUAGGAUUCAAGUUCCUUCCCCUCACCUACAAUCUAUGCAUUCUUUUUUUCUUGUCAUUACCCCAUGUAGACUUUGCAUUUCGCCCAUGCUAAAAUAUUUCAUCUCCCUUUCACCCCAAACACAAUGAACUCUCCUUAGCUAGAAAUGUCAGCUCACAAGCUUCUGUCUUAGAACAAUUUUUUUCCACAAUUCUCUUGGAUUAUCUGAAACAAAACUAUCCUGAAAACCACCAGCUCAAGUACUCCUUUGCAAAAUGGACUGUUUUAUUUCCCAGGCCCAGAGUGGUCAUAAAGUCCCUGAGGUAUCAUUAGGCAUCAAGAAGAACUGGGUUCAAAUCCUUUUUAUGCUUUCUGUGCAUACAUAAGGCAAAUUACUUAAUUUCUCUCAACCUUAGAUUCUUAUCUAUAAAACAGAUAAUAAUACACUCAAAGGUUGUUGGGAGGAUUAAAUAAGGAUAUAUAUAUAUGUAAUAUUUUCAUAUAUAUCCUUAUAUAAGUAUAUAAGGAUAUAUAUGCAAUAUGUAUAUAUGUAUGUGUACAUACAUACACAUAUAUAGUGCGUAUAUAUAUAUACACACACUCACACAGACAUAUAUAUAUGGUGGGUCAGAAAUUUCAGAAAUAUACCCCGUGCUCAAUCAACGUAAUUGAUAGAGUUCUCUUUCCCCCUUCCACUCCACCUUCUUUCUAGCUCUCAUACUAAUCAUGGCUGCUUUUCUAGAUGGUAGAGUAGAACCCUAUAUCGACUAACAAAAUAGAUGUCUUCUAUUUGAAGGGAUUUAGAACCAGGUUAAAAAGUAAAACAUAAUGUCCAUUCGCCUGCAUUAUAGUUUUCUGCGAUGUUUAGAGAAUUUUUUUAAUGACAGGUUUUGAUUGUCUUAUAUUGAAUAUGUUUUAAGUGGUUUUCACCUAAUAUAAGAGGAAAACAUCAAAAGCCACAAUCCUAGAAAGAGAAACUACAUUACAUUGAAAACUCUCAAGGGCUAAUGGGCCAUUUAUGCCUUUUCUCUGGGCAUUAGGAAACUCAUUGUAUGGUGACAAGUUUGCCUUGGCUCAAUCUGAUCUACCAGCAAGGACUCUGAAAGACAUUCAUUCAAUCACUUGUCCAUCCUGAAGCCACUGCUAAAAUUGCAGCCACUGCUAAAAUUGCAGCCGGCUGAAGUGACACAGGAAACCAAGUCCCUGUACUUAACUUGGAGGAUGAAAGGAGGCAUCAUACAGAGGACUGAUUAAAGGCCAGGUGAUGUGGCGGCCCUCAUACUCAGAACAUCUGGGAAUUUUUAAAUGCUGUCCUGACCCUCACUAGUUUUCUUCAAAUACUGGAACUGCUGGAAAUUCCACCCAGUUUUUCUGCAAAACCCAUUUAGGUGCUUCUACGGGAGUCAGGUGAUUCCCAGAGUCCAAUAACUCCAAUGACAUGAGACUUCGGAGAUUUGCUGUUUUCUAAAAAGAGCAAGACAACCGUCUCUUCCACUUCCAUUCUAGUUUUCCCAGGACUUUCCCAGUUUUCCAGUGAAAGUCCCUAGUCGUAGGAAACACCUCAGUUUCAGGUAAACACUGAACAGCUUUCUCAGAAAUAUAGCUAGGAUUGGGGAAUAUCACAAGAUCACCAACACUUUAAAUAGGAUAGGACUUAGACUCUUUCAACUCAGAAAAAGACAGAAAAAAACCAGUUUUGUGAUCAACCCACAAACCUAAUGCCAUCCAAGGUCUGUUCUUUCUUCACCAGUUCAAUGGUUACAAUUAUUUUUGAGGCAGAAAAUCCUUUGCAAAACAGAUGAAAUCUGUGGAAACUCUUGUUAGAAAAAUCUAUUCAUAUCCACAUAAUACUGAAGUAUAUAGCACACAAAGCAAGUGUACUAAUCAAAAGAUUACAGCUUUAUAAAUUUUCACAAACCAAACACACCCAUUUGAACAGCACCUAGGUAAACAACAGAAUAUUACCAGCACCUCAAUAGGAUUUAUCUUUCCCUUCCAGUCACUACUAGCCUGCCAAGGGUAAAUGCUGCCCCAACUUCUAAGACCUUAGAUUAGUUUUACCUUCUUUUGAACUUCAUAUAAGUUAAAUUAUUUAGUAUGUACACUUUCAUGUUUGGCUUCUUAAAUGCAACAUUUUUUUGUGACAGUAGGUCUUAUUAUUGUGUGUAGUUGCAGUUCAUUAAUUCCCAUGUAUGUUACAUCGUAUGAAAAUACUAUAUUUUAUUUAUACAUCCUAUUAUUGGUGGUUAUUUGGUUAGUUUUUAAAGUAUUGUGAGUAAUAUUACUGUAA
rnacentral:lncRNA from 1 species